UACGUAGGGAGCAAGCGUUGUCCGGAAUCAUUGGGCGUAAAGAGCGUGUAGGCGGCCCGGUAAGUCCGCCGUGAAAGUCCAGGGCUCAACCCUGGAAUGCCGGUGGAAACUGCCGGGCUGGAGUCCGGAAGAGGCGAGUGGAAUUCCUGGUGUAGCGGUGAAAUGCGCAGAUAUCAGGAAGAACACCCGUGGCGAAGGCGGCUCUCUGGAACGCAACUGACGCUGAGACGCGAAAGCGUGGGGAGCAAACAGG
rnacentral:rRNA from 1 species